rnacentral:rRNA from 1 species
GGAGGAAAAGAAACCAACAGGGAUUGCCCUAGUAACGGCGAGUGAAGCGGCAACAGCUCAAAUUUGAAACCUGGCGCUUGCGUCCGGAUUGUAAUUUGUAGAGGAUGCUUCUGGGCAGCGGCCGUUCUAAGUUCCUUGGAACAGGACGUCAUAGAGGGUGAGAAUCCCGUAUGUGACCGGCGCGCACCCUCCACGUAUCUCCUUCGACGAGUCGAGUUGUUUGGGAAUGCAGCUCUAAAUGGGAGGUAAAUUUCUUCUAAAGCUAAAUAUUGGCCAGAGACCGAUAGCGCACAAGUAGAGUGAUCGAAAGAUGAAAAGCACUUUGGAAAGAGAGUUAAAAAGCACGUGAAAUUGUUGAAAGGGAAGCGCUUCCAACCAGACUCCGCGGCGGUGUUCCGCCGGUCUUCUGACCGGUCCACUCCCCGUCGUGGGGCCAACAUCGUCUGGGGCCGCCGGAUAAGACCGGAGGAAUGUAUCUCAUUGAGUGUUAUAGCCUCCGGUGAUGCGGCGCGUCCCGGGCGAGGUCCGCGCUUCGGCAAGGAUGUUGGCGUAAUGGUUGGCAGCGGCCCGUCUUGAAACACGGACCAAGGAGUCUAACAUCUAUGCGAGUGUUCGGGUGUCAAACCCCUACGCGUAAUGAAAGUGAACGGAGGUGGGAGCUUCGGCGCACCAUCGACCGAUCCUGAUGUCCUCGGAUGGAUUUGAGUAAGAGCAUAGCUGUUGGGACCCGAAAGAUGGUGAACUAUGCCUGAAUAGGGUGAAGCCAGAGGAAACUCUGGUGGAGGCUCGCAGCGGUUCUGACGUGCAAAUCGAUCGUCAAAUUUGGGUAUAGGGGCGAAAGACUAAACUAACCAUCUAGUAUCUGGUUCCUGCCGA